rnacentral:rRNA from 1 species
UACAGAGGGUGCGAGCGUUAAUCGGAAUUACUGGGCGUAAAGCGUGCGUAGACGGUAGCGUAGGUCAGAUGUGAAAGCCCCGGGCUCAACCUGGGAACUGCAUUUGAGACUGCUCUGCUCGGGUGCGGAAGAGGGAAGCGGAAUUUCCGGUGUAGCGGUGAAAUGCGUAGAUAUUCGGAAGAACACCAGUGGCGAAGGCGACUUACUGGACACGUAUUGACGCUGAGGUGCGAAAGCGUGGGGAGCAAACAGG